CUGGGGAAGUUUCCACAUUUUGGCUGUGUUCAUUGUUCAGGCUCUCCCCACCCAGGCUUGUCACUCCCGCUUGGCUUGAAGGGAAUGGGAGGGAGGCAGCAGAGCUGUGCUAGAAAAGCUGCACCAUGGAUUACUGCUGAAAUGAAAUGUAGCUGUAAGGGGAAAAAAAAGCAGAGAACAAGGAAAUUCUGCUUAAUCACCUAUUGUCUGCAGUUGUUUUGCAUUCUUCACCUGUCACUCCUUGCUGGAGUCGGAUGUUUUUCUCCUGAUGAUGAGAACCUGACAGACGGAUGCACGCUCCCUUCCCCUUCUGGGAUUUGUCUCUCCGUGGCAGAGCUCAGCAGCAUCUGUGAAGUGGAAAUGAGCAGGCAGUGCAGCAGAUCAAAAUGAGGCCGUGGGCUUUGGAAAACGCUGGGGUUCAGUCUCACUGGCAGCCACGUGAGCACUGGGCUGUGGCCGCCCUCCUGCUCCUGGACUGUGGCAGGCUGAUACCUACUGUGACCUCCUCACCUCGUGCACUCAGCACAGCUCCUGGCAUCAGAUAUCCCAGCUUUGCAUGGUUGCAACUCCUACUGACUUGGGUCAGAGUUUACCUGGAGGGCCUGGAGCAGUGGCACUGCUCAGGGCUGUUGUGUGAUGAGAGUGACUCACUGCUCCCGCUCCCUGCCUUCCCCUUCACAUACAAAACAAGCAAGGCCUGGACUUGUCCCUGUUCCCAUCUCCUUAUCUUGCUUUCCACACAGCCUGUGGAGCAAGCAGACCUGUGAAGGGUGGCCUUGCAAGGACCUGGUCUGCAUGCAUUGCCAGGCUUCUCUUCCAUUUA
rnacentral:lncRNA from 1 species